rnacentral:rRNA from 1 species
AUGGCGUCCAUCCGGCGAGAUCUGCUCGUGGCGCUGUGUGUGGUGGCGCUCCUGGCCGUCGGGUCGGAGUCCCACGGGCUGAAGGACUUUGGCAGCGAGGGGAAGACGGAGGCGACGCCCGAGAUGGCCUCCUUCUUCGGCGCCAAGCCCGAGGCCGCCGUGCUCCCGGAGGCGCUGGACAACAACAAGGCCGCCAAGCCGGAGGCGGCCUCGGCGAUGCCCACCACCACCAACACCAACCCACGUUCGUCCCCGCCGCGCAGAUCCGUGGCCGUCGCGGCCGGCGUGGCCUGCGGCAUCGCGGCCCUGGCGGUGGUCGGCGUGGCGGUCGCCGUCGCCUUCGUGGUGCGCGCCAGGCGCGGCGAGAGGCGCGAAGCCGAGGUCCAUCUCGGCUAA